CUGAGUUCUAACAUCCAAGGGCAGAGAAAAAUGGUAUCCCAGCUCCGGAAGACAGAGAGCAAACUAUUUCACAUUGUCUCUGCCUUUUUAUUGUAUCCAGGCGCUCAGCUGAUUGGAUGAUACCUGCUCCCAUUGGGAUCUCACUAUGUUACUUGGGCUGGUCUCGAACUCCUGGCUUCAAGUGAUCCUCCCAUCUCAAUCUCCCAAAGUGCUGUGACUACAGGUGUGAGUCACUGUGCCAGGCCCAACCUGAAACCUUGACUGCAACUCACCUCAGAGACUGCGACACACUGGCUAUGCCCCAAGUCAUAUGUGGAGAGGGCAGCUUUUCUCAUCCGGCUUGCCAGGCAUACAGAGCAGUUUUCAAGCCUCUAUAGAAGUCAUCUUACAGCGAGUCUGAGCCAGUGAAAUGCAGUUAUAGUGAUAUGUGUACUCCCAAGGUAGCUGUCAAUGCUCCUACUCGGAAAUACUCAUAUGUUGCUUCUGACUUGAAGCAGAGGAACUCACAACCUAAGAAGCCACAGGCUUGAAGAUGGCAGAGCACAAGAUGGCAGAAGUUUGGAAUGAAUUACUACUUGAAAGAGAAGCUCUUAUUUACCAAGAAAUAUAUUUUGGAAUUUGCAUGAGUAAGAAAUAAAUCCA
rnacentral:lncRNA from 10 species